GCAGAGAACCCCCCCCCCCCCCCCCCCCCACACACACUGUCAUCAAUGUCGGGUGAGAGAGAGGAAGAGACUUCGUGGCACCGAGUAGCCCUAAGCCAGGAGGAUUGGGGAGGUUCGCUGCGAGCUUGUAAUCGUGUCUGCGGCAUCGGCACUGGAUGGAGUUCAUCCGGCGCUAACAAAUUCUUAACCAGAAUUUUGCUUUCCUCUGUGAAGCUUGGGUGCUCGGCGUCAGGAAUUCGUGCCAUUCCAAAGCGCGGUGUGUCCUCACCCUCUGUUCUGCCAUUGUCAUAGCUUGGUAUUGCGCCUAGGGUGUCGCAAUUUGACCGGGGAAACUAGCUUUGCGCGUACGCCGGCCAUGGCACCGCCGUGGUGGGCUCUGUGCCGCCAUGGCGGCCGUUUGUGAACGAAGACAACGCUGUGGCCGUUGGUCUGUAAAUGGACGGUGGCGGUUAGCUUGAUCCAUACUAGUUCGUUGAGCCCAUUUGAGCUGUUAAAUCCGAUCUGGACCGCCCUAGUGGGAUCACGAUUCUUUAAAAUCUGAGCCUUUGGAUUUUGAUCAGAUGGGUUGAAAUACAUACCGGUUCGAUGUAAAGUCAAUCUAAUCUGAGUGCUCGUUUUGCAAUCCAACGGCCCAUAGUUGCUGAUACCCCUUCGCCUGAAUCUUUUU
rnacentral:lncRNA from 7 species